AACCCGGUGAUCUAGCCAUGGGCAGGUUGAAGGUUGGGUAACACUAACUGGAGGACCGAACCGACUAAUGUUGAAAAAUUAGCGGAUGACUUGUGGCUGGGGGUGAAAGGCCAAUCAAACCGGGAGAUAGCUGGUUCUCCCCGAAAGCUAUUUAGGUAGCGCCUCGUGAAUUCAUCUCCGGGGGUAGAGCACUGUUUCGGCAAGGGGGUCAUCCCGACUUACCAACCCGAUGCAAACUGCGAAUACCGGAGAAUGUUAUCACGGGAGACACACGGCGGGUGCUAACGUCCGUCGUGAAGAGGGAAACAACCCAGACCGCCAGCUAAGGUCCCAAAGUCAUGGUUAAGUGGGAAACGAUGUGGGAAGGCCCAGACAGCCAGGAUGUUGGCUUAGAAGCAGCCAUCAUUUAAAGAAAGCGUAAUAGCUCACUGGUCGAGUCGGCCUGCGCGGAAGAUGUAACGGGGCUAAACCAUGCACCGAAGCUGCGGCAGCGACACUAUGUGUUGUUGGGUAGGGGAGCGUUCUGUAAGCCUGUGAAGGUGGCCUGUGAGGGUUGCUGGAGGUAUCAGAAGUGCGAAUGCUGACAUAAGUAACGAUAAAGCGGGUGAAAAGCCCGCUCGCCGGAAGACCAAGGGUUCCUGUCCAACGUUAAUCGGGGCAGGGUGAGUCGACCCCUAAGGCGAGGCCGAAAGGCGUAGUCGAUGGGAAACAGGUUAAUAUUCCUGUACUUGGUGUUACUGCGAAGGGGGGACGGAGAAGGCUAUGUUGGCCGGGCGACGGUUGUCCCGGUUUAAGCGUGUAGGCUGGUUUUCCAGGCAAAUCCGGAAAAUCAAGGCUGAGGCGUGAUGACGAGGCACUACGGUGCUGAAGCAACAAAUGCCCUGCUUCCAGGAAAAGCCUCUAAGCAUCAGGUAACAUCAAAUCGUACCCCAAACCGACACAGGUGGUCAGGUAGAGAAUACCAAGGCGCUUGAGAGAACUCGGGUGAAGGAACUAGGCAAAAUGGUGCCGUAACUUCGGGAGAAGGCACGCUGAUAUGUAGGUGAAGCGACUUGCUCGUGGAGCUGAAAUCAGUCGAAGAUACCAGCUGGCUGCAACUGUUUAUUAAAAACACAGCACUGUGCAAACACGAAAGUGGACGUAUACGGUGUGACGCCUGCCCGGUGCCGGAAGGUUAAUUGAUGGGGUUAGCGGCAACGCGAAGCUCUUGAUCGAAGCCCCGGUAAACGGCGGCCGUAACUAUAACGGUCCUAAGGUAGCGAAAUUCCUUGUCGGGUAAGUUCCGACCUGCACGAAUGGCGUAAUGAUGGCCAGGCUGUCUCCACCCGAGACUCAGUGAAAUUGAACUCGCUGUGAAGAUGCAGUGUACCCGCGGCAAGACGGAAAGACCCCGUGAACCUUUACUAUAGCUUGACACUGAACAUUGAGCCUUGAUGUGUAGGAUAGGUGGGAGGCUUUGAAGUGUGGACGCCAGUCUGCAUGGAGCCGACCUUGAAAUACCACCCUUUAAUGUUUGAUGUUCUAACGUGGGCCCGUAAUCCGGGUUGCGGACAGUGUCUGGUGGGUAGUUUGACUGGGGCGGUCUCCUCCUAAAGAGUAACGGAGGAGCACGAAGGUUGGCUAAUCCUGGUCGGACAUCAGGAGGUUAGUGCAAUGGCAUAAGCCAGCUUGACUGCGAGCGUGACGGCGCGAGCAGGUGCGAAAGCAGGUCAUAGUGAUCCGGUGGUUCUGAAUGGAAGGGCCAUCGCUCAACGGAUAAAAGGUACUCCGGGGAUAACAGGCUGAUACCGCCCAAGAGUUCAUAUCGACGGCGGUGUUUGGCACCUCGAUGUCGGCUCAUCACAUCCUGGGGCUGAAGUAGGUCCCAAGGGUAUGGCUGUUCGCCAUUUAAAGUGGUACGCGAGCUGGGUUUAGAACGUCGUGAGACAGUUCGGUCCCUAUCUGCCGUGGGCGCUGGAGAACUGAGGGGGGCUGCUCCUAGUACGAGAGGACCGGAGUGGACGCAUCACUGGUGUUCGGGUUGUCAUGCCAAUGGCACUGCCCGGUAGCUAAAUGCGGAAGAGAUAAGUGCUGAAAGCAUCUAAGCACGAAACUUGCCCCGAGAUGAGUUCUCCCUGA
rnacentral:rRNA from 1 species